rfam:Triticum aestivum genome assembly, contig: Triticum_aestivum_CS42_TGACv1_scaffold_543924_6DS
UAAGUACUCCCUCCGUCCCAAAAUACUUGUCGGAGAAAUGAAUAAAAAUGGAUGUAUCUUAGAACUAAAAUAAGUCUAGAUACAUUCAUUCCUCCGACAAGUAUUUCCGGACGGAGGGAGUAAUAU